AUAUUGGUCAACGGGCUCUAGCCUGCACCAGCCAAGUAGCGUGAAGGAUGACUGCCCUAUGGGUUGUAAACUUCUUUUAUAUGGGAAUAAAGUGCAGUAUGUAUACUGCUUUGCAUGUACCUUAUUAAUAAGGAUCGGCUAACUCCGUGCCAGAAGCCGCGGUAAUACGGAGGAUCCGAGCGUUAUCCGGAUUUAUUGGGUUUAAAGGGAGCGUAGGCGGGUUGUUAAGUCAGUUGUGAAAGUUUGCGGCUCAACCGUAAAAUUGCAGUUGAUACUGGCAUCCUUGAGUACAGUAGAGGUAGGCGGAAUUCGUGGUGUAGCGGUGAAAUGCUUAGAUAUCACGAAGAACUCCGAUUGCGAAGGCAGCCUGCUGGACUGUAACUGACGCUGAGGUUCGAAAGCGUGGGUAGCAAACAGG
rnacentral:rRNA from 1 species